GUUCAUCUAAGAUUAGGUGCUUAUAACACAAGCAUCUGUUUUUAUAGCUCUUUUUAUAGUUAGUGGAGUGCUAGUAAAUAUAAACCACAGGGUUCAGGCAUGUUUCAUUUUUCCCUGAUGCGGGAUGAAUUGCGCUCUGAGCUCUGUUGACUCCAUCUCCCGUGCCGAUAAUGGGAGCCUGGGCAGCUACCACAGCUGGAACAGUUCUAACUAUCAGAAAACAGCUCCAUCCCGCUCUGCGUGGUCAGGAUCAUUGUCCCGGCACUUACCAGGAACCAUCUUCAGACCCCUUCCAAAAAAGGACACUUCCAGCAUCGAUGUGAGUGUGAGUGGAAGAGAAAGCAACGAGUGAGGGUCGGGGGGUUCCUGUGCCCACAGAAGGCUUUGUCAGAUAAGUUUAUCAAAGGAGCUUUUUUCCCCCCGUUUCUUCUCUGGCUUCAAGAAUGAGAGCCGACAAGUCAGACUCCAAGCCCUGGAAGGACUACAUGCCCCGCAGCUUCCCCUGCGAU
rnacentral:lncRNA from 1 species